CCUACGGGAGGCAGCAGUGGGGAAUAUUGGGCAAUGGAGGAAACUCUGACCCAGCGACGCCGCGUGCGGGAUGAAGGCCUUCGGGUUGUAAACCGCUUUCAGUAGGGAAGAAGCGAAAGUGACGGUACCUACAAAAGAAGCACCGGCUAACUAUGUGCCAGCAGCCGCGGUAAUACAUAGGGUGCAAGCGUUGUCCGGAAUUAUUGGGCGUAAAGAGCUCGUAGGUCGUUUGUUACGUCGGAUGUGAAAACCUGAGGCUCAACCUCAGGCCUGCAUUCGAUACGGGCAAACUAGAGUUUGGUAGGGGAGACUGGAAUUCCUGGUGUAGCGGUGGAAUGCGCAGAUAUCAGGAGGAACACCAAUGGCGAAGGCAGGUCUCUGGGCCAAUACUGACACUGAGGAGCGAAAGUCUGGGGAGCGAACAGGAUUAGAUACCCUGGUAGUCCAGACCGUAAACGGUGGGCACUAGUUGUGGGAACCUUCCACGGUUUCUGCGACGCAGCUAACGCAUUAAGUGCCCCGCCUGGGGGUACGAUCGCAAGAUUAAAACUCAAAGGAAUUGACGGCNGAGACGNGCGAGACGACGACGAGGAGAG
rnacentral:rRNA from 1 species